GAAUGGCUGAGUAGAUACAGGGAGAGCAGUGGAUGUUGUCUACCUUGACUUCAGGAAGGCUUUUGAAUUUGUCUCCCAUAGCAUCCUCACAGAUGUUUCAGUGACCAGAGAGAAAUCCAAGUCUUGGCUGUGUGGCAGAGAUGUGCACCCUUGCUUCAGCUGCUCAAACUCACAGAACGUCCACUGCCUUCGAUCCUGUAAGAACAAGGAUCUGCAACCUGAUUUAGAACCUAUGGUUUUACUGGAGAAGUAGAAAGCCUAGGAAGGAAAAAUGCUAUGGAAAAUUUUGUCUCCCAGAUACCAUAAAGCUCUAAGCAUCAAAAUACAAAUGUUAU